UGCAAGUCGAGCGAUUCUCUUCGGAGAAGAGCGGCGGACGGGUGAGUAACGCGUGGGUAACCUGCCCUGUACACACGGAUAACAUACCGAAAGGUAUGCUAAUACGAGAUAACAUAUUUUGAUCACAUGGUCGAGAUAUCAAAGCUCCGGCGGUACAGGAUGGACCCGCGUCUGAUUAGCUAGUUGGUAAGGUAAUGGCUUACCAAGGCGACGAUCAGUAGCCGACCUGAGAGGGUGAUCGGCCACAUUGGAACUGAGACACGGUCCAAACUCCUACGGGAGGCAGCAGUGGGGAAUAUUGCACAAUGGGCGAAAGCCUGAUGCAGCAACGCCGCGUGAGCGAUGAAGGCCUUCGGGUCGUAAAGCUCUGUCCUCAAGGAAGAUAAUGACGGUACUUGAGGAGGAAGCCCCGGCUAACUACGUGCCAGCAGCCGCGGUAAUACGUAGGGGGCUAGCGUUAUCCGGAAUUACUGGGCGUAAAGGGUGCGUAGGUGGUUUCUUAAGUCAGAGGUGAAAGGCUACGGCUCAACCGUAGUAAGCCUUUGAAACUGAGAGACUUGAGUGCAGGAGAGGAGAGUAGAAUUCCUAGUGUAGCGGUGAAAUGCGUAGAUAUUAGGAGGAAUACCAGUUGCGAAGGCGGCUCUCUGGACUGUAACUGACACUGAGGCACGAAAGCGUGGGGAGCAAACAGGAUUAGAUACCCUGGUAGUCCACGCCGUAAACGAUGAGUACUAGCUGUCGGAGGUUACCCCCUUC
rnacentral:rRNA from 1 species